CCAGGGCUUACAGAAGUUCGAGAAGAAUGGCAAGAAUGUUCUCCAUCUCCCACCCUCCUUUUGUCCAGAAGGAGCAGCAACAUCUUCACAUUUCAAGAUGUUGUGAAGCUCUAAAGAUGUAAACAGAUGUAAAGGUGCAAUGGCAGAAGAUUAAGCAGAAAUGUUGCUGUUAAAUUGGGUCAUUUGGAAGGUUGCUGUUUAAGUCAAAGCAUGGGAAGACAUUGUUAGAGGUACCAGCAUCUAAAUAUGUUUAUACUUCCCAGCAUUUAGUAUAGCUGCCCCCAGACUAUGGAAUGGACUCCCAGAGGAGAUCGGCCUUGUUACAUCCCUGGAAAUUUUCCACAAGGCGGUUAAGACAGAGCUUUUUCGACAUGCAUACCCACCUGACCUUCUAUGAAUUACAGACUGUUUCUGUAUGGAACG